CCCUUAGAUGUCCUGGGCUGCACGCGCGCUACACUGACGAACUCAACGAGCUUAUCACCUUGGCAGAGAUGUCUGGGCAAUCUUUUGAAAGUUCGUCGUGCUGGGGAUAGAUGAUUGUAAUUAUUCGUCUUGAACGAGGAAUUCCUAGUAAGUGUGAGUCAUCAGCUCGCGCUGAUUACGUCCCUGCCCUUUGUACACACCGCCCGUCGCUCCUACCGAUUGAAUGGUCCGGUGAGGUUCUCGGAUUUUUUCUGUUGUUUGGUUCGCUAAACGAUUGAAGAGAGAAGUUACCCAAACCUUACCAUUUAGAGGAAGGAGAAGUCGUAACA
rnacentral:rRNA from 1 species